GACGAACGCUGGCGGCGUGCUUAACACAUGCAAGUCGAACGGUGAAGCUCCAGCUUGCUGGAGUGGAUCAGUGGCGAACGGGUGAGUAACACGUGAGCAACCUGCCCCUGACUCUGGAAUAAGCGCUGGAAACGGCGUCUAAUACUGGAUACGAGAAGGGUCCGCAUGGGCACUUUCUGGAAAGUUUUUCGGUUGGGGAUGGGCUCGCGGCCUAUCAGCUUGUUGGUGAGGUAAUGGCUCACCAAGGCGACGACGGGUAGCCGGCCUGGGAGGGCGACCAGCCACACUGGGACUGAGACACGGCCCAGAGUCGUACGGGAGGCAGCAGUGGGGAAUAUUGCACAGUGGGCGAGAGCGUGAUGCAGCGACGCCGCGUGAGUGAUGACGGCCUUCGGGUUGUAAACCUCUUUCAGCAGGGAAGAAGCGAAAGUGACGGUACCUGCAGAAGAAGCACCGGCUAACUACGUG
rnacentral:rRNA from 1 species